rnacentral:misc_RNA from 1 species
AAGUCGUAACAAGGUUUCCGUAGGUGAACCUGCGGAAGGAUCAUUAACAAAUAUAUGAGAGAUUUUAUGAAAAGGAAUAAACCGUUAGGUUUAUUUCUUUGAAUAAAAUCUCGAAUAACAAAUAAUGUUAUAUCCACCCUUUCAAAUGUGAAAUUGUUUAAAACGUAGUAAAUGACUUUCUGGUUGGGUGUUUUGAGUCUUUUGAGAUUCGAAACGAUAAAUUGCCUGCCAGAAGUUUUCUGUUUAAAACUAACCUAGCUAAAUUAUUUGUUGAAUUAAUUAAUCAUUUUUAUUAAUGACCAAACUUAAUACAACUUGCAACAAUGGAUCUCUUGGCUCUU